rnacentral:rRNA from 1 species
UGGGGAAUAUUGGGCAAUGGGCGAAAGCCUGACCCAGCGACGCCGCGUGGGCGAUGAAGGCCUUCGGGUUGUAAAGCCCUUUCGUGUGGAAAGAACAGCCUCACGACUAAUACUCGUGAGGUUUGACGGUCCCACAGGAAGAAGCACCGGCUAACUCCGUGCCAGCAGCCGCGGUAAUACGGAGGGUGCAAGCGUUGUUAGGAAUUAUUGGGCGUAAAGGGCGCGUAGGCGGUUGUGUUAGUCAGAUGUGAAAUCCUUCGGCUUAACUGAAGAACUGCAUUUGAUACGGCGCAACUAGAGUACAGGAGAGGGAAACGGAAUGCCCGGUGUAGAGGUGAAAGUCGUAGAUAUCGGGAGGAACACCAGUGGCGAAGGCGGUUUCCUGGCCUGAUACUGACGCUGAGGCGCGAAAGCGUGGGGAGCAAACA